UAAACAUUUCAUUCGCUGUGUUCGAUCGAUCAAUCUUCCUUCAAUAUAAUGGCUAUUUCUCUUGUCACUUUACUAAAUACAAUACACUUCCAUUUUCUACAACCUCUUCCUUGUUUGAGUGUUGAUGAUACAGAAAGAAUAAUGAUCGAAUCUUUGUGUAAGAAGCUCCGGUGUUUGCAAGCCUUUUUGGAGCAUUCUGAGAAGAACAACAUCAACUGCCCGGCAUGGAUAGGCUUGGAGACAGAGAUCAGAGAUGUAGCUGCUGAAGCAGAGACCAAAAUUGACAACAUCAACUGUCCCUCAGCGUCCCACCCAAAGAAGUGCCUACAAUUCAGUGAGAGAUUUAGUUACUGGAUUCAAUCGUUGAAAUCCUUGGUACACCCAAAAAAAAAAUACAUCAACUGCCCGGCAUGGAGAGGCUUGGAGACAGAGAUCAGAGAUGUAGCUGCUGAAGUGGAGAGCAAAAUUGAAUUACAAUUAUAUCAACUCUACAACGAGGAAGAUGCCCCUGUUGAGCCUUGUGAGAGUCUUCAUCAGACCUUGCAACAAGUAAUGGGAGACAUUGAAUCACUUGAACGGAGGAUUCAGCAGAUUGAGAGCAAUCGCAAUCACUCUGUAGAGCCGCCAAGAAGAAACGCAGCAAUACAGAAUAUCAAAGCUGAUAGCUCCUCCAAACGUUGUACAGAGCCCGAGAAUGUAAUGGUAGGAUGUGACGAUGAGUUUGAAACCAUCAAGAACAAGCUCAUUUCAGAUUCAAAUAACCUGGAAGUCAUCUCAAUCACAGGGAUGGGAGGCAUCGGCAAGACUACUUUAGCUCAAAGAGUCUACAAUGAUGAAGCUGCAAUUGCUUCUUAUUUUGACAUUCGAGCAUGGACUACUGUAUCUCAACAACACAAUCUUAGAGAAAUGCUCCGUGACCUUCUCGGUUCUAAUGACAACAACCCAGAUGUCUCUUAUCUGGCAAGUCAACUACGCCAAAGGUUGUUGGGUCACAGGUAUCUCAUUGUUAUAGAUGAUAUAUGGAGCACUCAAGCAUGGGAUGGCAUUCAUAGAUGUUUCCCAAAAGAUUUCAAUGGGAGUCGAAUAUUGCUGACUACACGGCUCAAACAGGUGGCUGGCUAUGUUAGUUCUGGUAACAAUCUUUAUUCCAUGCGAUUCUUAAAUUUCAAUGAAAGUUGGAAUUUAUUUUACAAGAAAGUAUUUGUAGAAAAAAAAUUCCCUCUUGAAUUUGAGAAAAUUGGUAGAGAUGUUGUUAAAAAAUGUCAAGGAUUACCUCUAACAAUUAUAGUGGUUGCUGGGCUUCUUUCUUCCUCAUCCAACAAGCCAUCACCAAAUCAGUGGGAGAAUGUUGUUGCAAAUUUGGAUCUGUUGCUUGACACUGAUCCCGAAAAGAAAUGUUCAAAAAUGCUCUCACUAAGUUACAACCACUUGCCUCUGCAUUUGAAAGUUUGUUUUUUAUAUUUUGGGGUUUUCCCAGAAGAUAGUAUUAUUAAAGUGAAAAAGUUGAUUAGGCUAUGGAUUGCUGAGGGAUUCUUAAAGUUAGAGUUGAAUAAGGCCACGGAAGAAGUGGCAUAUGCUUACUUACAGGAUCUUGUGGACAGAGGUCUAGUUCAAAUUGAUAAGUUGAGUAGUUUUGACAACAAAAUAAAGUAUUGUAAGGUCCAUGAUGUGCUGCAUAGCUUUAGCUUGAGAGAGGCUGAGAGGGAGAAGCUUUUGUGUGUUAUAAAUGAGAAUAAUAAUGUGCAUGAGCUUGAGCUUGGUGUUGGAUUAGCAACAAGCAGCUUGGACCGAAAAGCUUGCCGUCGGGUCGUCAGUUAUCAAUUAAGCCAUAUAGAUGCUGAGCCAAUUACUCAAAUUAGUCGAUCCCAUGAAUUGCGUUCUUUUCUACAUCUUCCUCGUCAUUCUAUUGUCGGUGUUUCCUGCAACAAUUCCAGAAUACUUCCCUAUUCUAAACUGCUAAGGGUGUUGAACAUGAGUCUAUGUUAUCUAAAUCACCUGCCAAGGGAAAUAGUGGAUCUUGUUCAUUUGAGAUACUUGGCCCUAUCCAUUGACAAGAGGGCGUGUUUUAAUGGUUACCAAUUGUGUAAGCAAUUGUGUAAGCUUCGAUGUUUGCAGACUAUCAUCAUUACUAAUGAGCCUUGGCAUUCUUUUUCACCAAAUAAUAUUUUGGGUAUGCCACAAAUAAGGCAUGUUCACUUCUCCCCCAGGACUCUUUAUUACCACCAUCUCCCAAAGUUGGUUCAAGGAAAUCUACAAACUCUAUCUUGGUUGAGUCUACCUCAACGCUUGCAAACUGAGCCAGACUUCAAAGUGAUUCCAAACGUGAAGGAACUUGGGAUUCACUUAAUGGGAUUCACUUGGGAUUUACAACCACAUAUUUCAAUGGAAGGUCUUCUCAAUUUGCAUCAGCUAGAGAACUUAAAAUUUGAAAGAGAUGGAGGUUGUCUGAAAUGUGACAGCAAAGUUCUAAAAGCUUUUCCAUCAAAUCUCAAGAAGUUGACCCUCAUAAGAACAAAUUUUUCAUGGGAGGAUAUGGCCAUUAUUAGCACAUUGCCUAACCUUGAGGUUCUAAAACUGAGAGAGGAUGCUUUCUGUGGUCCAGAGUGGAAAGCAACAGGAAAUGGCUUCUGCAAAUUAAAGUAUUUGGAAGUUAAUAGACUUUUAAGUCUCAAGCAUUGGAGUGUGGAUGCUGAUCAUUUCCCCAUUCUUGAAUGCAUAUUUCUUUAUCUCUGUCCUGAUUUGGUGGAAUUUCCAACUGGUUUUGGUGAGAUUAACACAUUGCGGUUAAUUGAUUUAAAGCGUUGUCACUUGAGCCUUGUGACUUCUGCUAAAAAAUUGCAAGAAGAGCGGCGGGAUCUUGGAGACGAUAGACUUGUUCUCCGUGAAUUUUAUACAUACCGUCUCAUAGGCACACACUAUGAAGCAAUUGGUUCUGAAGUCGGAGCAGUCAAUUAGGACAAUUGGUGGAUAUCCUGGGAGGUAAUGCACCUUUCUAUGAUCAGUUUAUUUGUGAUGAAAAAUUGUGAAGAUAACCCAAAACUUAGAUGUAAUUACCGCUGAAAUUACAAGAGACCAAAGUUUAGUGCUUCGUUCUCUUUGCUGAUGUUCUGAAUUUGUUUAGAAGCAUUAUGAUUGUGUUUGGGUACUUGAAAUUAAUGAAAAGAUUUUCAACUUUUUAGGUUGUAGUAAUUAGAUUUGAUGGCUAAGAGAUCAUUCAAGCAACAACAUGAACUUGGUGUUAAUUUUCUGAGUGGAAUAAUUUCAGAGAAGAGGCUGGCCGGAUUAGGGAAAAAAAUCUGGAGAGAAUUAUAGUCGAGGACUUUGUAUCUGGCGGAAGAAUUUUUCACUCCUUAUAAUCCAAAGUUGCAAUGUUCUUCAGUUGGAAAAUGGAAAGGAACAACAAAUUUACACUAAUCUAACCUAUUCUAAGCUAACCCUAACUAGAGAAAGAUAGGGAAAAUGAAAGAUGUCUUUUUCGGUGGAAGAAAUCCUCUUUAAAGGGGUCAAAAUGGUGCUGUCAAAAGUUGUAGAGGUUGGCCACGGGUGUGGGCACAUGUGUAGCUAUACUCGUGCCCAGAAUUGAAGGCACACUGCCUUGUGGCCACGCCAGUGGCCACCAAAUAAGCAGUGUUCCUGUGCACAUUGUCCAUCUUCUAAACUAUUUUCACCCCUAAAUCCUUUGAGUUCGUGUUUAUGAUCUUCAUCGAUCAAAGUUGUAGUCCUUCAAAUUAGCUUUUCAAUGACAUAAAAAUAACUUGAUUUGGAUA